rnacentral:rRNA from 1 species
GAGGAAAAGAAACUAACAAGGAUUCCCCUAGUAACGGCGAGUGAAGCGGGAAGAGCUCCAAAUUUGAAAUCUGGUAGCCUUCGGUUGCCCGAGUUGUAAUCUAGAGAAGUGUUUUCCGUGCCGGCCCAUGUACAAGUCCCUUGGAACAGGGCGUCAUAGAGGGUGAGAAUCCCGUCCUUGACAUGGACCCCCGGUGCUUUGUGAUACACUUUCAACGAGUCGAGUUGUUUGGGAAUGCAGCUCAAAAUGGGUGGUGAAUUCCAUCUAAAGCUAAAUAUUGGCGAGAGACCGAUAGCGAACAAGUACCGUGAGGGAAAGAUGAAAAGCACUUUGGAAAGAGAGUUAAACAGUACGUGAAAUUGUUGAAAGGGAAACGAUUGAAGUCAGUCAUGCUCUUAGGAUUCAGCCGUUCUGCGGUGUAUUUCCUUUGAGUGGGGUCAACAUCAGUUUUGAUCGAUGGAUAAAGGCACGAGGAAGGUAGCACUCUCGGGUGAACUUAUAGCCUCGCGUCAUAUACAUUGAUUGGGACUGAGGAACGCAGCAUGCCUUUAUGGCCGGGAUUCGUCCACGUACAUGCUUAGGAUGUUGACAUAAUGGCUUUAAACGACCCGUC